UGUGUGUGUGUGUGUGUGUGUUUGUUUUUCCCAUCAGCCUCAUCAUAUUCACAGACUCUCCCACUUCUGUGACUUUCCCUAUGGAUACCUGGUGGAGAUGGUCGUACGCAGUCGAGUGAAAGGCUUAUAGCUGUCAGACAGGAGUUUAAGCAAAGUGGUUUUACAGCUGAAAGGUAUUUAUAAUCACCGAAGAUGGAAAGCAUCUAUUUGUUUUUGUUGAAGGCAGUGUCGUGCUAGCAUCAUCUCAACAACACCGCAAAGAAGUAAAACGCACAUAAAGGACACCACCAAUUUCCC
rnacentral:lncRNA from 1 species